rnacentral:tRNA from 1 species
GGUAAAAUGACUGAAAUUAGGUAAUAAACUGUAAAUUUAUUUAUGAGAAUAAAAUUCUCUUUUACCA